AAUAGCAUACUCAUUUGACGUUAGCUGCAGAAGAAGACACCGGCUAACUCCGUGCCAGCAGCCGCGGUAAUACGGAGGGUGCGAGCGUUAAUCGGAAUUACUGGGCGUAAAGACGCAUGCAGGUGGUUUGUUAAGUCAGAUGUGAAAGACCCGGGGCGUCAACCUACGGAAUUGCAUUUAGUAAACUAGGCAAACUAGAGUACUGUAGAGGGGGGUAGGAAUUUCAGGUGUAGCGGUGAAAUGCGUAGAGAUCUGAAGGAAUACCGGUGGCGAAGGCGGCCCCCUGGACAGAUACUGACACUCAGAUGCGAAAGCGUGGGGAGCAAACAGGAUUAGAUACCCUGGUAG
rnacentral:rRNA from 1 species